CUCUCCCUCUCCCCCCUCUCUCUUUCUCUCUCCAUCUCUCUCUCCCUCUCUCUCUCUCCAUCUCUCUCUCUCUCCCUUUGGCAGUGGGCUAGAGAGCUGUCUGUUCAGCGAGAACAGCCAUUUGGACAUACUUGUCUGUGAAAUCUGUCAUCGUCAGCAGACACAGUCAGAGAAAGAGUGAGUCAGUGUGCAGCAUUGUGUUCCACAGGUUCAGUAGCUGGACAAGUGUAGCUGAAUUUCAUCAACAUUUUUAUUUUUUUUAAGAAAGUACACCACGACCAAGAUCUACAAGCACAUUUCUCCAAAUAUGGUGUUCGAAUGAGUUGAGAUCUGGCAGCCAUUAGAUAUGAUUUACAUCCUCAUCAGGACCCACUUAAUGGAGGUGGAGUCACCCUGGUAGCGACCACUCCCAUCGGCAUUGAAAUGCUUCAUCAUAGUUUAAAGAUGUUGAAGCACCGUGCAGCAGUUGGCCUGAUGUGUGUCUACUUUGGGAGCAGCUGGACCCUGUUGGGCGUUGGAACCACGGCUCAGUUCAAGGACAAUCUGCAGAACGGGAAGUGAGCUCAUAACAAAUUUGCUUUUGGAAGGGGCAGCAGCGUGCAACUGACAUCAUGAUCUCGCCUUCAAAACAUUCCAUUGUUGGGCCUGUGAGGGCUGCAAGGCGCUGGAAUAGUUUCAGCAUUAUGACAUUCAUAACUGGACUUUCUGCUGCUGGACGUUCACACUAAAACCCGGGCGCAUAAGCAAUGCUCUGUUUUUUCAAGGAUUUUGUUUUUAAAUGUUCACAUAUUGUUGGCUGUUAUAGGUAAUAUGGUGCAACUGUGAUUAUAUGUGAUAAACAAUGCCUUUUGUAUCACUGCCAAAGGUUCUGCGGCCAAAACUUCAUUCUGCUCUCAUAUGGAAAUACAUCUGAGCAAUCACAUUUACUCUACAUGCAGACAACGCUAAAUCAGAACACUCGAAACUCUUCUGUUCUUGAUUUUACUCUUAACAUGUUUUUCCCCCAAGUAGGUUACAGGUUGCAUUGCGAUGUUUCCAUCACUUGUUCUUUAUAUAAACCUCAUAGUUUCAAAACAAAUGAAACUCUCAUGUGAUUUUUUUUUAAUAAAAUUAUUUUUUUUGGCUAAACUGUUAGGGAAAUUCUAAGGGAAAUACACACUUACUGGCU